rnacentral:rRNA from 1 species
GACCUCAAAUCAGGUAA